AAAAUGCCUGGCUGGUUGGGAUAUAACUGCUGGGCAACGUAGUUAAUACCGCAUGACUGUUGCAUGACCAAAGUGAGGGACUUUUCGGACGUCAUUCCAUCCAGAUGUGCCGCGGAUUGGAUUAGCUAGUCGGUGAGUUAACCGCUCACGUAGGAGACGAUCCCUAGCAGGUCUGAAAGGAUGUCCACGGCGCACUGCAAAUGAGAUGCAGUCCGGACUCUUACGGGAGGCAGCAGUGGGGACUUUUCCUCAUUUUGAGCUCCCCUGAUGCAGCCAUGGAGCGUGUGUGACGAUGGCCUUCUGGUUGUCAAGCACUUUAAGCGGGGAGGAAGGCGGUGAGGUUAAUAACCUCGUUGAUUGACGUUACCCGCAGAAGAAGCACCGGCUAACUCCGUGCCAGCAGCCGCGGUAAUACGGAGGGUGCACGCGUUAAUCGGAAUUACUGGGCGUAAAGCGCACGCAGGCGCUCUGUCAAGUCGGAUGUGAAAUCCCCGGGCUCAACCUGGGAAAUGCAUUCGAAACUGGCAGGCUAGAGUCUUGUAGAGGGGGGUAGAAUUCCAGGUGUAGCGGUGAAAUGCGUAGAGAUCUGGAGGAAUAGCCGGUGGCGAAGGCGGCCCCCUGGACAAAGACUGACGCUCAGGUGCGAAAGCGUGGGGAGCAAACAGGAUUAGAUACCCUGGUAGUCCACGCCGUAAACGAUGUCGAUUUGGAGGUUGUGCCCUUGAGGCGUGGCUUCCGGAGCUAACGCGUUAAAUCGACCGCC
rnacentral:rRNA from 1 species